CCUACGGGAGGCAGCAGUGGGGAAUAUUGCACAAUGGGGGAAACCCUGAUGCAGCGACGCCGCGUGAGCGAUGAAGUAUUUCGGUAUGUAAAGCUCUAUCAGCAGGGAAGAAAAUGACGGUACUUGACUAAGAAGCCCCGGCUAACUACGUGCCAGCAGCCGCGGUAAUACGGAGGGGGCAAGCGUUAUCCGGAUUUACCGGGUGUAAAGGGAGCGUAGACGGUCCUGCAAGCCAGAUGUGAAAGCCCGGGGCUCAACCCCGGGACUGCAUUUGGAACUGUAAGGCUGGAGUGUCGGGGAGGCAGGCGGAAUUCCUAGUGUAGCGGUGAAAUGCGUAGAUAUUAGGAGGAACACCAGUGGCGAAGGCGGCCUGCUGGACGAUGACUGACGUUGAGGCUCGAAAGCGUGGGGAGCAAACAGGAUUAGAUACCCUUGUAGUC
rnacentral:rRNA from 1 species